rnacentral:rRNA from 1 species
GGUCAAGCGAACAAGGGCGCAGGGCGAAUGCCUUGGCACUGGGAGCCGAUGAAAGACGUGAUAAGCUGCGAUAAGCUUCGGGGAGCUGCAAAUAAGCAUUGAUCCGGAGAUCUCUGAAUGAGGAAACUCACCUGGGUUCAUACUCAGGUACAAUACACUGAAAUUCAAAAUAGGUGUAUUGAGGGAACCGCCUGAACUGAAACAUCUAAGUAGGGCGAGGAAGAGACAUCAAACGAGAUUCCGUAAGUAGUGGCGAGCGAACGCGGAAGAGGGCAAACCGAGAGUAGAAAUACUUUCGGGGUACGGACUGCUUUUAAGACUCAAUCUGUUAACCGAACGGCAUGGGAAGGCCGGUCAGAGAGUGUGAGAACCACGUAGGUGAAAACGGAGAGAGCUGCGCAGGAUCCAGAGUACGGCCAGACACGUGAAACCUGGUCGGAAUACGGGGGGACCACCCUCCAACCCUAAAUACUACCCAGUGACCGAUAGCGUAUAGUACUGUGAAGGAAAGGUGAAAAGCACCCCGGGAGGGGAGUGAAAAAGAACCUGAAACCCUGUGCCUACAAGCACCUAGAGCGCGUCAAAGCGUGAUAGGGUACUUUUUGUAGAACGGUCCGGCGAGCGAUUGUAUGCAGCAAGGUUAAGGACUUAAGGUCUGGAGCCGAAGCGAAAGCGAGUUUGAAAAGGGCGUUAAGUUGCAUAUAAUGGGCCCGAAACCGGGUGACCUACCCAUGGUCAGGUUGAAGUGGAAGUAAAAUUCCAUGGAGGACCGAACCGACCUCCGUUGAAAAGGCGGCGGAUGAACUGUGGGUAGCGGAGAAAUUCCAAUCGAACCCGGAGAUAGCUGGUUCUCCCCGAAAUAGUUUUAGGACUAGCCUCAAGUUAGAUACCUGGAGGUAAAGCACUGAAUAGCCUAGCGGCCGAGAGGUUAGCGAAGCUUAUCAAACUCAGAAUGCCAGAGUAUUGAUGCUUGGGAGUCAGACAGUGUCAGAUAAAUGUCAUUGUCAAAAGGGAAACAGCCCAGAUCUACAGCUAAGGUCCCAAAGUCAGGUUAAGUGGAAAACGAUGUGAAGAUACGCAGACAACCAGGAUGUUGGCUCAGAAGCAGCCACUCAUUCAAAGAGUGCGUAAUAGCUCACUGGUCGAGCGUCUUUGCGCGGAGAAUUUAACGGGGCUAAACCUGACACCGAAGCUUAGGCAAUACAGCAAUGUAUUGGGUAGGGGAGCGUUGUAUACGCGGAGAAACAGUAGCGCAAGCGGCUGUGGAGUGUAUAGAAGUGAGAAUGCCGGAAUGAGUAGCGCGAAUGCAGUGAGAAUCUGCAUGGCCGAAAGCCUCAGGUUUCUGGAGGAAGGUUCGUCCGCUCCAGGUUAGUCGGGAGCUAAGGUGAGGCCGGAAGGCGUAGCCGAUGCACAGACGGUAGAGAUUCCGUCACCACCAAAAGAGUUAAGCACAGGGACACAUAUGAAGUCUCAGAGCCGGGUGUUGGUUCCGGUAGAGAUCGAGGGAAAUUAGUACCGAAGUCUGAGAUGGAAGAUGGCGAGAAAAGCUGUGUGUAUUUCUGAGGUGCCCGUACCGCAAACCGACACAGGUAGGUAGGAAGAAGAUUCUAAGGCCAACGGGAGAAGGGUUGUUAAGGAACUCGGCAAAUUGACCCCGUAACUUCGGGAGAAGGGGUGCUCCAGAGAUGGAGCCGCAGAGAAUCGGCCCAAGCAACUGUUUACCAAAAACACAGGUUUGUGCUAAAUCGAAAGAUGACGUAUACGAGCUGACGCCUGCCCGGUGCUGGAAGGUUAAGAGGAGAUGUGCAAGCAUUGAAUCGAAGCCCCAGUGAACGGCGGCCGUAACUAUAACGGUCCUAAGGUAGCGAAAUUCCUUGUCAGGUAAGUUCUGACCCGCAUGAAAGGCGUAAUGAUUUGGGCACUGUCUCAACAGCCCGCCCGGCGAAAUUGUAGUACCGGUGAAGAUGCCGGUUACCCGCGACAAGACGGAAAGACCCCAUGGAGCUUUACUGUAGCCUAAUAUUGGGUUUCGAUGUUGCAUGCACAGGAUAGAUGGGACUCU